rnacentral:lncRNA from 1 species
AGGCCUCAUCUGAUGCAACACAGUGCUUACCCUCCUCGGAAUCGAUC